AUUGAACGCUGGCGGCAGGCCUAACACAUGCAAGUCGAACGAGUGGCGGACGGGUGAGUAAUGUCUGGGAAACUGCCUGAUGGAGGGGGAUAACUACUGGAAAAGGUAGCUAAUACCGCAUACCAUCAGAUCUGCCCAGAUGGGAUUAGCUUGUUGGUGGGGUAAAGGCUCACCAAGGCAACGCUCCCUAGCUGGUCUGAGAGGAUGACUAGCCACACUGGAACUGAGACACGGUCCAGACUCCUACGUGAGGCAGCAGUGGGGAAUAUGGCACAAUGGGCGAAAGCCUGAUGCAGCCAUUCCGCGUGUAUGACGAAGGCCUUCGGGUUGUAAAGUACUUUCAGCGGGGAGGCGUUACCCGCAGAAGAAUCACCGGCUAACUCCGUGCCAGCAGCCGCGGUAAUUC
rnacentral:rRNA from 1 species